rnacentral:sRNA from 1 species
GCUGGGUGUGGUGGUACACCCCUGUGUCACAGCUACUUGGGGAGCUGAGGCAGGAAGAUCACUUGAAUCCAGGAGUUCAGGUCCAACCUGGGCAACUUAGCUAGAUCCUAUCUCCU